rnacentral:rRNA from 1 species
UACGAGUCUCACAAACGUUGUUCGGAUUCACUGGGCUUAAAGGGCGCGUAGGCGGCCGCUCAAGUCGGGGGUGAAAUCUUUCAGCUUAACUGGAAAAUAGCCUCCGAUACUGGGCGGCUCGAGGGAGAUAGGGGUGCGCGGAACUUCCGGUGGAGCGGUGAAAUGCGUAGAUAUCGGAAGGAACGCCGGUGGCGGAAGCGGCGCACUGGAUCUCCACUGACGCUGAGGCGCGAAAGCCAGGGGAGCAAACGGG